CGAAGGCUUCGGCCUUAGUGGCGCACGGGUGCGUAACGCGUGGGAACCUGCCCUUAGGUUCGGAAUAACAGUUAGAAAUGACUGCUAAUACCGGAUAAUGUCGAAAGACCAAAGAUUUAUCGCCUUUGGAUGGGCCCGCGUAGGAUUAGCUAGUUGGUGGGGUAAUGGCCUACCAAGGCGACGAUCCUUAGCUGGUCUGAGAGGAUGAUCAGCCACACUGGGACUGAGACACGGCCCAGACUCCUACGGGAGGCAGCAGUGGGGAAUAUUGGACAAUGGGCGAAAGCCUGAUCCAGCAAUGCCGCGUGAGUGAUGAAGGCCUUAGGGUUGUAAAGCUCUUUUACCAGGGAUGAUAAUGACAGUACCUGGAGAAUAAGCUCCGGCUAACUCCGUGCCAGCAGCCGCGGUAAUACGGAGGGAGCUAGCGUUGUUCGGAAUUACUGGGCGUAAAGCGCACGUAGGCGGCUUUUUAAGUCAGGGGUGAAAUCCCGGGGCUCAACCCCGGAACUGCCUUUGAAACUGGAAAGCUAGAAUCCUGGAGAGGUGAGUGGAAUUCCGAGUGUAGAGGUGAAAUUCGUAGAUAUUCGGAAGAACACCAGUGGCGAAGGCGACUCACUGGACAGGUAUUGACGCUGAGGUGC
rnacentral:rRNA from 1 species